rnacentral:SRP_RNA from 1 species
GCUGGGUGCCGUGGCGCGUGCCUAUAGUCCUAGCUACUUGGGAGGCUGAGGUGGGAGGAUCGCUUGAACCCAGGAGUUCUGGGCUGUAGUGCGCUAUGCCCAUCGGUGUCCACACUAAGUUCAGCAUCAAUAUGGUGACCUCCUGGGAGCGGGGGAACACCAGGUUGCCUAAGGACGGGUGAACUGACCCAGGUCGGAAACGGAGCAGGUCAAAACUCCCGUGCUGAUCAGUAGUGGGAUUGCGCCUGUGAAUAGCCACUGCACUCCAGCCUGGGCAACAUAGCGAGACCCUGUCUCU